AGAGUUUGAUCCUGCAGGACGAACGCUGGCGGGNNNUUAACACAUGCAAGUCGAACGGUGAACCUGCUUCGGUGGGGGACAGUGGCGAACGGGUGAGUAACACGUGAGCAACCUGCCCUUGACUCUGGGAUAACUCCGGGAAACCGGUGCUAAUACCGGAUAGGACCUCUGCGGGCAUCUGUGGGGGUGGAAAGUUUUUCGGUCAAGGAUGGGCUCGCGGCCUAUCAGCUUGUUGGUGGGGUGAUGGCCUACCAAGGCGACGACGGGUAGCCGGCCUGAGAGGGCGACCGGCCACACUGGGACUGAGACACGGCCCAGACUCCUACGGGAGGCAGCAGUGGGGAAUAUUGCGCAAUGGGCGAAAGCUGACGCAGCGACGCCGCGUGAGGGAUGAAGGCCUUCGGGUUGUAAACCUCUUUCAGCAGGGAAGAAGCGAGAGUGACGGUACCUGCAGAAGAAGCGCCGGCUAACUACGUGCCAGCAGCCGCGGUAAUACGUAGGGCGCAAGCGUUGUCCGGAAUUAUUGGGCGUAAAGAGCUCGUAGGCGGUCUGUCGCGUCUGCUGUGAAAACUCGGGGCUUAACUCCGGGCCUGCAGUGGGUACGGGCAGACUAGAGUGCGGUAGGGGAGACUGGAAUUCCUGGUGUAGCGGUGAAAUGCGCAGAUAUCAGGAGGAACACCGGUGGCGAAGGCGGGUCUCUGGGCCGUAACUGACGCUGAGGAGCGAAAGCAUGGGGAGCGAACAGGAUUAGAUACCCUAGUAGUCC
rnacentral:rRNA from 1 species